UUCCAGCCAAUCAGCAGCAGACCCUCCCUCUCAGACCCUCCCACCUCCUGGACAGCAUCCAUUUUACAUUCAUUGUGAAGCUGCAUUCUUAGUGAAUCUGUUGGUGCUAUAUAAAUGGCAAUAAUAAUAAUAAAUAGUGAGCUGUCCAGGAGGUGGGAGGGUCUGGGAGGGAGGGUCUGCUGCUGACUGGCUGG